AGUGAACGCUGGCGGUAGGCCUAACACAUGCAAGUCGAACGGCAGCACAGUAAGAGCUUGCUCUUACGGGUGGCGAGUGGCGGACGGGUGAGGAAUACAUCGGAAUCUACUUUUUCGUGGGGGAUAACGUAGGGAAACUUACGCUAAUACCGCAUACGACCUACGGGUGAAAGCAGUGGAUCUUGGGACCUUGCGCGAUUGAAUGAGCCGAUGUCGGAUUAGCUAGUUGGCGGGGUAAAGGCCCACCAAGGCGACGAUCCGUAGCUGGUCUGAGAGGAUGAUCAGCCACACUGGAACUGAGACACGGUCCAGACUCCUACGGGAGGCAGCAGUGGGGAAUAUUGGACAAUGGGCGCAAGCCUGAUCCAGCCAUGCCGCGUGGGUGAAGAAGGCCUUCGGGUUGUAAAGCCCUUUUGUUGGGAAAGAAAAGCAGCAGGUUAAUACCCCGCUGUUCUGACGGUACCCAAAGAAUAAGCACCGGCUAACUUCGUG
rnacentral:rRNA from 1 species